UACAGAGGUCUCAAGCGUUGUUCGGAUUCAUUGGGCGUAAAGGGUGCGUAGGCGGCGCGGUAAGUCGGGUGUGAAAUCCCACGGCUCAACCGUGGAAGUGCACUCGAAACUGCAGGGCUAGAGUCCUGGAGAGGAAGGUGGAAUGCUUGGUGUAGAGGUGAAAUUCGUAGAUAUCAAGCGGAACACCGGUGGCGAAGGCGGCCUUCUGGACAGUGACUGACGCUGAGACGCGAAAGCGUGGGGAGCAAACAGG
rnacentral:rRNA from 1 species